AUAGGUCAAGCUACUAAGAGCGUAGAGUGGAUGCCUUGGCACCGAGAGCCGAUGAAGGACGUGGUAAGCUGCGAAAAGCUUUGGAGAGGCGCAAACAGCCGUUAUAUCCAGAGAUGUCCGAAUGGGGAAACCUAGCUAAGUAAACCUUAGUUAACGUAUGGUGAAUAAAUAGCCAUACGUGGGGAACGUUGGGAACUGAAACAUCUAAGUACCAACAGGAGGAGAAAGAA
rnacentral:rRNA from 1 species